GCGGGGGGCCCGAGACCCUCCGUGACGUCGGGCCCGGGGACCCCUGCGGGUUUCCCUCGCCCAGGCUCGAGGGGGCUCUGGGGCUGCCCCCUUCCCCCCUGUCCAGUCACAGACAGCUCCAUGCAUCCCCCCCUGAUCUGGAAAGCUCCCCCAGAGCUCUGGCAUCCUUCAAGUAAACCCAGCCUGCCAGAGAGAAUUGGGGAGGGGGUGUUAUAGAUUCCCAUCAUGUCCGUACCCCAAACCCUCCUAAAGCAUCGCCUAUCCGGGCCGAGAAGUGGGAAGGGUUGUCCAAUUCUAGCCCGCCUUAACAGCUCCAGAUCCGAUCCAGUCUCCUAG
rnacentral:lncRNA from 1 species